AAUCACCUCAAACUCUGACAAGAUUUUAUAUUUUGUUAGUGAUUGGAAUUGAGUGAUCCCAACACACAUUUUUGUGGCGGGUUACUUGAAAUGCAGGUGCAGCAGGAUUUUCAUCUGAGCUAAAGGCAUUAUUUAUUUAGUCCCUUUAAAAAGGAUUAUUACUUUGCUUCAGCUAAUAUUAAAGGAUGAGAUUCUAAAUUGCUGACUACUGAUGCAGGAAAUAUUGCAAAAGGAUCUUUCUUUUUGUAUU
rnacentral:misc_RNA from 1 species